UAAGUUGCUGUUAACAAGCAAUCCCCCCAAAAUGAUACAGGUAAACUAGACUGGAAAAGAAGGGCUCUACAAGUUUCAAGUAAAGAUAUGUGUUUUAUUUCAACAACCCCAUUCUGUUGAGGGGAAUGAAGGCAAGUGGUUUGAUGUACAAUCCCCAGCUCACUGAAAAAGGAAAUCCCUUCUGAACUGGAACCCAGUUCCAGGGCAUUAUCACUCCUGACAAUCUGGACCAUGGAGUGGAACUGAGUUUGAACAUAGGAGAUAAAAGAUUUAAGUAAAGGGAAGGCAUUACUUUUAGAUCCUAUCAAAUGUGUCCAGGUGGCCCUAGAAAAAUCAUCAACUAUGGUGAGAAAGUAUUUACUGCCAAAGGAAGUAGAAGUAUGGUAAGGACCCCAAGUAUCUAGGUGGCCCUAGAAAAAUCAUCAACUAUGGUGAGAAAGUAUUUACUGCCAAAGGAAGUAGAAGUAUGAUAAGGACCCCAAGUAUCUACAUGUAUACGUUGAAAGGGUCUAGUAGUGCUAAUACUGCUAUCAGGGAAAGGCAAUCUAGUUUGUUUUGCCAUAGGACAAAUAGAACAAGGAAAAGGUUGUUUAGCAGCAAAGGGAAAAGAUAAACUAGAAAUAUAUUUCAUAUUAGCAAAAGAAGUAUGUGCUAAUCCCAAAUGCCAUAUGUAAUUCAUAUCAAAAGUAGCAGCAUUAUUACAACUGGAAGUGUGUACAAUNNNN
rnacentral:lncRNA from 1 species